GCAGGAGGAGGAAAACUGAAGGCUGAGGCAGGACUGACUGAAGUCCAGAAGAUGAGUGUUUGUGUGGAGAAAAAAGACAGAGCACAGUCUCCAGGAUCCAUCUGUCUGUCUAUGAAGAGUGACUGGUCCGAAGAGUUGAAUCCUCCACACUUCAGUAAUGAACCUGGACCCUAAGACACAAAACUGACUGAAGUCCAGAAGAUGAGUAUUUGUGUGGAGAAAAAAGACAAAGCAGAGUCUCCAGGAUCCAUCUGUCUGUCUAUGAAGAGUGACUGGUCCGAAGAGUUGAAUCCUCCGCACUUCAGUAAUGAACUUGGACUCUCAGACACAAAAGGACAGGACCACAGACUGAGAGCAGAGUCUCCAGGAUCCAGCUGUCUGUCUGUGAAGAGUGACAGGUCCGAAAACUUUAAUCCUCCAAAGUUCAGUAAUGAACCUGGACCCUCAGACACAAAAU